UAAGACGAAGGGUGCGAGCGUUAUUCGGAAUUAUUGGGCGUAAAGGGUGCGUAGACGGCAUAUUAAGUCAACUGUUAAAUCCUCCGGCCUAACCGGAGAUCUGCGGUAGAUACUGAUGUGCUAGAGGGUGGAAGAGAGAAGUGGAAUUCUCGGAGUAGCGGUAAAAUGCGUAGAUCUCGAGAGGAACACCAAUGGCGAAGGCAGCUUCUUGGUCCAUUUCUGACGUUGAGGCACGAAAGCGUGGGGAGCGAACAGGAUUAGAUACCCUGGUAGUCCACGCUGUAAACGAUGAUCACUAGAUGUUAGUUCUAUUUAUAGGAUUAGUAUCGCAGCUAACGCGAUAAGUGAUCCGCCUGGGGACUACGGUCGCAAGACU
rnacentral:rRNA from 1 species